rnacentral:rRNA from 1 species
UCCAGACUCCUACGGGAGGCAGCAGUGGGGAAUAUUGGGCAAUGGGCGCAAGCCUGACCCAGCAACGCCGCGUGAAGGAAGAAGGCUUUCGGGUUGUAAACUUCUUUUAAGAGGGAAGAGCAGAAGACGGUACCUCUUGAAUAAGCCACGGCUAACUACGUGCCAGCAGCCGCGGUAAUACGUAGGGGGCAAGCGUUAUCCGGAUUUACUGGGUGUAAAGGGGGCGCAGACGGCAGCGCAAGCCAGGGGUGAAAGCGCGGGGCCCAACCCCGGGACUGCUCUUGGAAGUGGGGGGCUGGAGUGCAGGAGGGGAGGGCGGAAUUCCUGGUGGAGCGGUGAAAUGCGGAGAUAUCAGGAGGAACACCGGUGGCGAAGGCGG